CAGUAGCCGCGGGAAAACGGAGGGUGCAAGCGUUAAUCGGAAUUACUGGGCGUAAAGCGUGCGUAGGCGGUUCGUUAAGUCUGUUGUGAAAGCCCCGGGCUCAACCUGGGAAUGGCAAUGGAUACUGGCGAGCUAGAGUGUGUCAGAGGGGGGUAGAAUUCCACGUGUAGCAGUGAAAUGCGUAGAGAUGUGGAGGAAUACCGAUGGCGAAGGCAGCCCCCUGGGCCAGUACUGACGCUCAUGCACGAAAGCGUGGGGAGCAAACAGGAUUAGAUACCCGGGUAGUCCCUGUCUCUUAUAC
rnacentral:rRNA from 1 species